rnacentral:tRNA from 1 species
CAACUUAUAGCUUAACUAAAGCAUCUUGCUUACACCAAGAAAACGCCCGUUAAACUCGGACUAAGUUGA